rnacentral:rRNA from 1 species
UACGGGGGGGGCAAGCGUUGUUCGGAAUUACUGGGCGUAAAGGGCGCGUAGGCGGCCUUCUAAGUCGGACGUGAAAUCCCUCGGCUUAACCGAGGAACUGCGUCCGAUACUGAAAGGCUUGAAUCCGGGAGAGGGAUGUGGAAUUCCAGGUGUAGUGGUGAAAUGCGUAGAUAUCUGGAGGAACACCGGUGGCGAAGGCGGCAUCCUGGACCGGUACUGACGCUAAGGCGCGAAAGCGUGGGGAGCGAACAGG